GGGCGGGCGGGGAUGGCGGAGCAGUGGGAUCUGGACGAGGAAGGCAUCCGCCGCCUGGGGGCGCUGAGUCUGGAGCAGCCCGAAUUGGUGGAGUCUCUUUCAUUGCAGGGAUCUUAUGCUGGAAAAAUUCAUUCCAUUGGUGAUGCCUUCAGAAAUUUUAAAAACCUUCGAUCCUUAGAUUUAUCAAGAAACUUGAUCACAAGCCUGAAGGGCAUCCAGUAUUUAUGUUCACUCCAAGACCUGAAUUUAUAUUAUAACAACAUUCCUUCAUUAGUGGAGGUGUCCCGCCUACAGCCUUUACCCUUCCUCAGAGAACUAGAUUUGAGACUCAAUCCUGUUGUCAGGAAAGAUACAGAUUAUAGGCUCUUUGCUGUGUACACGCUACAAACUCUGGAGAAACUGGAUGACCGAGCUGUGCGGGAAAGUGAGAGAAAAGCUGCCAAGCUGCAUUUUAGUCAAUUGGGCAACAGUGAAAAUUUUCUUUUAGAGGUGGAAAAAAGCUCUAGGGAGAAGACAAUGAAAAACUGUGUGACCGAUGAGAGCUCUGCAUCAAAAGUCAAUGCCAAUGUUGAUAACAGAAUUGAAACUGACUCAAACAAAGGACUUUUUAUUCCCUUCCCCAAUCGGGAAAUAAAGGAUUCCCUAAUGAGUACUUCUGCAACCCCGGGCAGUGGUAUACCAGAUCAGAAAUUAGACACUUUCCUGCUGGGAACACAGGAAGUGGCAAGAAGGGAGAUCCCAAGUGACAAUCACCAGGAAGAUGAAUUUAGACGCUACUCUCCUCGUCAGUCUACGGUCCGAUCCCCAGAGAAGAUGGCUAGAGAAGGGUACCGACUAUCUUUUUUGGACAAUAAGUCUUCAGGUUCUUCUCCAGAAAAGGAUUUGAUACUAAAACCUGAUAAUCACCAGCUUACCCAUGAUGUCUCAUUGGGUAAACGUCUGGAUGUGGGUGAUUCUAGCCAGAUCCAUCCCUAUCAGUUACCUUCAGAUGCUGGUCUAGAAAAUUAUGAUUGUCAUUAUUCUCACAAUCUGUCCCUGCAUGGAAGUCUUGGAAAAAGGCCUCAGAGAAGCAAGAACUACCGUGAAUAUAGCAUAAAGCCUUCAAAUGACAUGAAGGCCACCACAUCCCAUUCCUGUGGAGACUUACUGACUUCUCUGUCAAACCCUGACUCUAGCACUGGAAGGCUUUUAAAGCUUAGUUCAGAUCUGUAUGCCACAACACAUUUCAACAGUGACCCUGCUCUGCUUGUUAAUGUAGAGCAACAAUUAUCUACCAGUCUCAGUGAUAUAACACCAGCGCAUGGUUCUUUCCCAAACAACUCCGCCCUGGGAGACUCUCUACGGACACUACUGUUGCCUACUGGGACCUCCGAACACAGAGAGAAUCUGACCAAGAGGUCAUUAAGCCCAUCGAGGAGAGGAUUCAAACGGAAGGACAAUAUCCUUGCCACCUUGAAUCCAAAGACUGGUUUCAGAGAUGCUAUGGGAAGCGAGCCUCUCUCCAGUGACCUGGGCAGUUUGCAUGGUUUGCCAGGAAACCACAGUCCGCCGAUCUCUGCCAGAACCUCCCAUGUGGCCACUGUCCUCAGACAGCUCUUGGAGCUUGUGGAUAAGCACUGGAAUGGCUCUGGCUCUCUUCUUCUUAACAAGAAGUUUCUCAGUCCUGCCCGAGAUUUACUUCUGACUUUGGUAGUCCCUGCUCCUUCCCAGCAGUGGUGUCACUCACAUCCUGAAGAUACAUCAAAAACCUUCCGCAGGAGAGAGAUGGAACUGAAGGAAGCUGGGCAUGUGGUCCCUAAUGACAUGGAAAGUUUGAAGCAAAAACUGGUCAGAGUGCUAGAAGAAAACCUCGUUUUGUCAGAAAAAAUCAAGCAGUUGGAGGAAGGUGCUGCUACCUUGAUUGUGAGUGGGCACCAGUCACACACUUAUGAUGAUCUUCUGCGCAAAAACCAACAGCUGAACAUGCAAGUGGCUUGCCUGAACCAGGAGCUUGCCCAGCUGAAAAAGCUGGAGGAGACAGUGGCCCUUCUCCACGAAAGUCAGAGAUCCCUGGUGGUAACUAAUGAGUAUCUGCUGCAGCAGCUGAAUAAAGAGCAAAAAGGUUAUUCUGGGAAAGCACUCCUGCCUCCUGAGAAGAGUCAUCAUUUGGGGAGAUCGUCACCCUUUGGGAAAAGCACGCUGUCUUCCUCCUCACCAGUGGCACAUGACACGGAAAUAGUUGACACUUAAUCCUACGCAUCAUAUCACAUAGAAACAUUUGGCUGAAAAUGUUGAAAGGAAAAAAACAUCAGACAUUUUUUUGAGUGUCACUUGAAACUAUGUAGUCGAAGGUUAAAAAAGAACAUCAACGGCCAGGGUCAUGUCAGAGAGAGAGAGAGAGACAGGUGGAAAGAUUAUACACUUAUUUGCUCCCCUGACCCAGGUACUCUGCAGGGAAGGAGAGCUAUAGCCAAAAUAAUGAGACAUGAAGAUCACAACCAAGAUCGCACACCUCUAAGUUAUAAAUAAAAUCCACAGAUCUCUGAAUUUUAUGUG